GCCCUCGUAGUUCAAUGGAUAGAAUGCGAGCUUGCGGAGCUUGUGAUGCAGGUUCGAUUCCUGCCGGGGGCACCA
rnacentral:tRNA from 6 species